rnacentral:rRNA from 1 species
GACGAACGCUGGCGGCGUGCCUAAUACAUGCAAGUUGAACGCUUCUUUCUUAUCGAACUUCGGUUCACCAAGAAAGAAGAGUAGCGAACGGGUGAGUAACACGUGGGUAACCUACCCAUCAGUGGGGGAUAACACUUGGAAACAGGUGCUAAUACCGCAUAAUACUUUUUCUCUCAUGCGUGAAAGUUGAAAGGCGCUUUUGCGUCACUGAUGGAUGGACCCGCGGUGCAUUAGCUAGUUGGUAGGGUAACGGCCUACCAAGGCAACGUGGCAUAGCCGACCUGAGAGGGUGAUUGGCCACACUGGGACUGAGACACGGCCCAGACUCCUACGGGAGGCAGCAGUAGGGAAUCUUCGGCAAUGGACGAAAGUCUGACCGAGCAACGCCGCGUGAGUGAAGAAGGUUUUCGGAUCGUAAAACUCUGUUGUUAGAGAAGAACAAGGAUGAGAAGAGAAUGUUCAUCCCUUGACGGUAUCUAACCAGAAAGCCACGGCUAACUACGUGCCAGCAGCCGCCGCCG